rnacentral:pre_miRNA from 1 species
CAACUACUCCCUCUGUCCCAAAUUUCUUGUCUUAGAUUUGUCUAGAUACGGAUGUAUCUAAUACUAAAAUGUGAGUUGAUACAUCUGUAUAUAGAUAAAUCUAAGACAAUAAUUUUGGGAUUGGAGGGAGUACUUA